GGGUUGUGAGGUUAAGCGACUAAGCGUACACGGUGGAUGCCCUGGCAGUCAGAGGCGAUGAAGGACGUGCUAAUCUGCGAAAAGCGACGGCGAGGUGAUAUGAACCUUUGACCCGUCGAUGUCCGAAUGGGGAAACCCAGUGUGUUUCGACACACUAUCGUUAACUGAAUACAUAGGUUAACGAGGCGAACCGGGGGAACUGAAACAUCUAAGUACCCCGAGGAAAAGAAAUCAACCGAGAUUCCCCCAGUAGCGGCGAGCGAACGGGGAGCAGCCCGGAGUCUGAAUCAGCUUGUGUGUUAGUGGAAGCGUCUGGAAAGUCGCACGGUACAGGGUGACAGUCCCGUACACGAAAAUGCACAGGUUGUGAACUCGAAGAGUAGGGCGGGACACGUGGUAUCCUGUCUGAAUAUGGGGGGACCAUCCUCCAAGGCUAAAUACUCCUGACUGACCGAUAGUGAACCAGUACCGUGAGGGAAAGGCGAAAAGAACCCCGGCGAGGGGAGUGAAAAAGAACCUGAAACCGUGUACGUACAAGCAGUGGGAGCACCUUCGUGGUGUGACUGCGUACCUUUUGUAUAAUGGGUCAGCGACUUAUAUUCUGUAGCAAGGUUAACCGUAUAGGGGAGCCGCAGGGAAACCGAGUCUUAACUGGGCGUUAAGUUGCAGGGUAUAGACCCGAAACCCGGUGAUCUAGCCAUGGGCAGGUUGAAGGUUGGGUAACACUAACUGGAGGACCGAACCGACUAAUGUUGAAAAAUUAGCGGAUGACCUGUGGCUGGGGGUGAAAGGCCAAUCAAACCGGGAGAUAGCUGGUUCUCCCCGAAAGCUAUUUAGGUAGCGCCUCGUGAACUCAUCUUCGGGGGUAGAGCACUGUUUCGGCUAGGGGGCCAUCCCGGCUUACCAACCCGAUGCAAACUACGAAUACCGAAGAAUGUUAUCACGGGAGACACACGGCGGGUGCUAACGUCCGUCGUGAAGAGGGAAACAACCCAGACCGCCAGCUAAGGUCCCAAAGUCAUGGUUAAGUGGGAAACGAUGUGGGAAGGCACAGACAGCCAGGAUGUUGGCUUAGAAGCAGCCAUCAUUUAAAGAAAGCGUAAUAGCUCACUGGUCGAGUCGGCCUGCGCGGAAGAUGUAACGGGGCUAAACCAUGCACCGAAGCUGCGGCAGCGACACUAUGUGUUGUUGGGUAGGGGAGCGUUCUGUAAGCCGUUGAAGGUGUGCUGUGAGGCAUGCUGGAGGUAUCAGAAGUGCGAAUGCUGACAUAAGUAACGAUAAAGCGGGUGAAAAGCCCGCUCGCCGGAAGACCAAGGGUUCCUGUCCAACGUUAAUCGGGGCAGGGUGAGUCGACCCCUAAGGCGAGGCCGAAAGGCGUAGUCGAUGGGAAACAGGUUAAUAUUCCUGUACUUGGUGUUACUGCGAAGGGGGGACGGAGAAGGCUAUGUCAGCCGGGCGACGGUUGUCCCGGUUUAAGCGUGUAGGUGUGUGUUCCAGGCAAAUCCGGUUCACUUUAACACUGAGGCGUGAUGACGAGGCACUACGGUGCUGAAGUGAUAAAUGCCCUGCUUCCAGGAAAAGCCUCUAAGCAUCAGGUAACACGAAAUCGUACCCCAAACCGACACAGGUGGUCAGGUAGAGAAUACCAAGGCGCUUGAGAGAACUCGGGUGAAGGAACUAGGCAAAAUGGUGCCGUAACUUCGGGAGAAGGCACGCUGAUAUGUAGGUGAAGUCCCUGCGGACGGAGCUGAAAUCAGUCGAAGAUACCAGCUGGCUGCAACUGUUUAUUAAAAACACAGCACUGUGCAAACACGAAAGUGGACGUAUACGGUGUGACGCCUGCCCGGUGCCGGAAGGUUAAUUGAUGGGGUUAGCGGCAACGCGAAGCUCUUGAUCGAAGCCCCGGUAAACGGCGGCCGUAACUAUAACGGUCCUAAGGUAGCGAAAUUCCUUGUCGGGUAAGUUCCGACCUGCACGAAUGGCGUAAUGAUGGCCAGGCUGUCUCCACCCGAGACUCAGUGAAAUUGAACUCGCUGUGAAGAUGCAGUGUACCCGCGGCAAGACGGAAAGACCCCGUGAACCUUUACUAUAGCUUGACACUGAACACUGGUCCUUGAUGUGUAGGAUAGGUGGGACGCUUUGAAGCGUGGACGCCAGUCUGCGUGGAGCCGUCCUUGAAAUACCACCCUUUAAUGGCUGGUGUUCUAACGUAGACCCGUGAUCCGGGUUGCGGACAGUGUCUGGUGGGUAGUUUGACUGGGGCGGUCUCCUCCCAAAGAGUAACGGAGGAGCACGAAGGUUAGCUAAUCCUGGUCGGACAUCAGGAGGUUAGUGCAAUGGCAUAAGCUAGCUUGACUGCGAGAGUGACGGCUCGAGCAGGUGCGAAAGCAGGUCAUAGAGAUCCGGUGGUUCUGAAUGGAAGGGCCAUCGCUCAACGGAUAAAAGGUACUCCGGGGAUAACAGGCUGAUACCGCCCAAGAGUUCAUAUCGACGGCGGUGUUUGGCACCUCGAUGUCGGCUCAUCACAUCCUGGGGCUGAAGUAGGUCCCAAGGGUAUGGCUGUUCGCCAUUUAAAGUGGUACGCGAGCUGGGUUUAGAACGUCGUGAGACAGUUCGGUCCCUAUCUGCCGUGGGCGCUGGAGAAUUGAGGGGGGCUGCUCCUAGUACGAGAGGACCGGAGUGGACGCAUCACUGGUGUUCGGGUUGUCAUGCCAAUGGCACUGCCCGGUAGCUAAAUGCGGAAGAGAUAAGUGCUGAAAGCAUCUAAGCACGAAACUUGCCCCGAGAUGAGUUCUCCCUGAGACUAUAAGUCUCCUGAAGGAACGUUGAAGACGACGACGUUGAUAGGCCGGGUGUGUAAGCGCAGCGAUGCGUUGAGCUAACCGGUACUAAUGAACCGUGAGGCUUAACCUUACAACGCCGAAGCUGUU
rnacentral:rRNA from 1 species